rnacentral:rRNA from 1 species
AUUGAACGCUAGCGGCAUGCCUUACACAUGCAAGUCGAACGGAGUGGCGAACGGGUGAGUAAUGUAUCGGAACGUGCCUAGUAGUGGGGGAUAACUACGCGAAAGCGUCGCUAAUACCGCAUACUAUUGGAGCGGCCUAUAUCGGAUUAGCUAGUUGGUGGGGUAAAGGCUCACCAAGGCGACGAUCCGUAGCUGGUUUGAGAGGACGACCAGCCACACUGGAACUGAGACACGGCCCAGACUCCUACGGGAGGCAGCAGUGGGGAAUGUUGGACAAUGGGGGAAACCCUGAUCCAGCCAGGCCGCGUGUGCGAUGAAGGCCUUCGGGUUGUAAAGCACUUUUGGCAGGGAGGCGGUACCAGCAGAAUAAGCACCGGCUAACUACGUGCCAGCAGCCGCGGUAAUAC